rnacentral:lncRNA from 1 species
GUCCAUUUGUAUCUACAGUUAGAGAAUUUGAUUGCUCUGUGCCUGAAUUUGUAUUAAAGCAAUAUACCUAAACCUACAUAUUCACCCUUAAAUAUUUUGUUCUGAGUUUUUGUGAAACAUUUAAACAUAGAUUAUCAUUUACACUAGUUAUUGGCAAAAUAUUAGAACUUUGUGUUAUACCUGUAUUCGAUUGUUGCCUUUCAUUGACUGAGUCGGGAGAUGUAACAGUAGCUGGAGAGUGCAUAAGGGCAUUGACAAUCU